UACGGGGGGAGCAAGCGUUGUUCGGAAUCAUUGGGCGUAAAGAGCGUGUAGGCGGCCAACUAAGUCCUGCGUGAAAUCUCGGGGCUCAACCCCGAGCGGUCGUGGGAAACUGGUUGGCUAGAGUGCGGGAGAGGAGAGUGGAAUUCCUGGUGUAGCGGUGAAAUGCGCAGAUAUCAGGAAGAACACCCGUGGCGAAGGCGGCUCUCUGGAACGCAACUGACGCUGAGACGCGAAAGCGUGGGGAGCAAACAGG
rnacentral:rRNA from 1 species